rnacentral:rRNA from 1 species
GACAGAGGGUGCAAACGUUGUUCGGAAUCACUGGGCGUAAAGGGUGCGUAGGCGGGUUAUUAAGUCAGAGGUGAAAUCCUGGAGCUCAACUCCAGAACUGCCUUUGAUACUGAUAGUCUUGAGUAUGGGAGAGGUGAGUGGAACUGCGAGUGUAGAGGUGAAAUUCGUAGAUAUUCGCAAGAACACCAGUGGCGAAGGCGGCUCACUGGCCCAUAACUGACGCUGAGGCACGAAAGCGUGGGGAGCAAACAGG